rnacentral:other from 1 species
ACUUCCUAAGCCGGAACGAAAAGUCUCUUUGUUUUAAUACAUUGAUACUUUUGGCUUUGUGGUUGUGAUGUUGUGUUUGCAAGUUGUCUGGGACUCCAGACUUUGUAGCGUAAGCUACUGUUUUUUCACUUCCUGUACAUUUACCCUGUCUGUCCAUAGUGAUUUUUUUAAUGCACCGCAAUUGCGGUGCUUUUUUUC